rnacentral:rRNA from 1 species
GUGUCAGCCGCCGCGGUAAUACGUAGGUGGCAAGCGUUAUCCGGAAUUAUUGGGCGUAAAGCGCGCGCAGGUGGUUUCUUAAGUCUGAUGUGAAAGCCCACGGCUCAACCGUGGAGGGUCAUUGGAAACUGGGAGACUUGGGUGCAGAAGAGGAAAGUGGAAUUCCAUGUGCAGCGGUGAAAUGCGUAGAUAUAUGGAGGAACACCAGUGGCGAAGGCGGCUCUCUGGUCUGUAACUGACGCUGAGGCUCGAAAGCGUGGGGAGCAAACAGGAUUAGAAACCCUUGUAGUCC